AUUGAACGCUGGCGGCAGGCCUAACACAUGCAAGUCGAGCGAGCGGCGGACGGGUGAGUAAUGUCUGGGAAACUGCCUGAUCGAGGGGGAUAACUACUGGAAACCGUAGCUAAUACCGCAUACCAUCAGAUUUGCACAGAUGGGAUUAGCUAGUUGGUGGGUUAACGGCUCACCUAGGCGACGAUCCCUCGCUGGUUUGCGAGGAUGACAAGCAACACUGGAACUGGGACACGGCCAAGACUCCUACGGGGGGAAGCAGUGGGGAAUUUUGCACAAUGGGCGCAAGCCUGAUGCAGCCAUGCCGCGGGUGUGAAGAGGGCCUUGGGGUUGUAAAGUACUUUCUGCGGGAAGGCGUUACCCGCAGAAGAAGCACCGGCUAACUCCGUGCCAGCAGCCGCGGUAAUAC
rnacentral:rRNA from 1 species